GACGAACGCUGGCGGCGUGCUUAACACAUGCAAGUCGAGCGGUAAGGCCCUUUCGGGGGUACACGAGCGGCGAACGGGUGAGUAACACGUGGGUGACCUGCCUUUAGCUCUGGGAUAAGCCUGGGAAACCGGGUCUAAUACCGGAUAUGACUCCGCGGCGCAUGUUGUGGGGUGGAAAGCCUUGUGCGGCUGGAGAUGGGCCCGCGGCCUAUCAGCUUGUUGGUGGGGUGAUGGCCUACCAAGGCGACGACGGGUAGCCGGCCUGAGAGGGCGACCGGCCACACUGGGACUGAGACACGGCCAGACUCCUACGGGAGGCAGCAGGUGGGGAAUCUUGCGCAAUGGGACGAAAGCCUGACGCAGCGACGCCGCGUGA
rnacentral:rRNA from 1 species